UUUAAUAAUUGAAGGGCUGCAGUAUAUUGACUGUACAAAGGUAGCAUAAUCAUUAGUCAUUUAAUUGGUGACUUGUAUGAAAGAUUGGAUGAAAUAUAAACUGUCUUUUAGUUAAAUAUAGAAUUUAAUUUUUAAAUUAAAAAGUUUAAAUAAAUUAAAAAGACGAGAAGACCCUAUAGAGUUUUAUAAUUAAGUUAAUUAAGAUUAUUUAUUAAAUUAAAAUUAAAAUUAGGUUAAUUAUUAUAUUGGGGUGAUAGAAAAAUAUGAUUAACUUUUUUUUAAAAAAAAAAACAUUUAUAAGUGAUUAGAUGAUCCAGUAUUAUUGAUUAUAAGAAAAAAUUACCUUAGGGAUAACAGCGUAAUUUUUUUUUUUAGUUCAUAUAAUAAAAAGAGUUUGCGACCUCGAUGUUGGAUUAAGAUAAAAUUUAAAUGCAGAAG
rnacentral:rRNA from 1 species